rnacentral:miRNA from 1 species
CACGAAACGUUUGUUCGCCACCACAGGCCACAGCAACCUAACUAAAUGUAUUAUAUUUUUUGUAUUUUUAUAAUUGAUGAUAAAUAUACACAAAUAUUUAUUGUUUUUAUCAAAAAUCACAAAUAUACAAUAAAUAUAAUGUACCUAACUUAGGUUGCUGUGGCCUGUGGUGGCGAACAAACGUUUCGUG